AUUGAACGCUGGCGGCAGGCCUAACACAUGCAAGUCGAGCGGAUGACGGGAGCUUGCUCCUUGAUUCAGCGGCGGACGGGUGAGUAAUGCCUAGGAAUCUGCCUGGUAGUGGGGGACAACGUUUCGAAAGGAACGCUAAUACCGCAUACGUCCUACGGGAGAAAGCAGGGGACCUUCGGGCCUUGCGCUAUCAGAUGAGCCUAGGUCGGAUUAGCUAGUAGGGGAGGUAAUGGCUCACCUAGGCGACGAUCCGUAACUGGUCUGAGAGGAUGAUCAGUCACACUGGAACUGAGACACGGUCCAGACUCCUACGGGAGGCAGCAGUGGGGAAUAUUGGACAAUGGGCGAAAGCCUGAUCCAGCCAUGCCGCGUGUGUGAAGAAGGUCUUCGGAUUGUAAAGCACUUUAAGUUGGGAGGAAGGGCAGUAAGUUAAUACCUUGCUGUUUUGACGUUACCGACAGAAUAAGCACCGGCUAACUCUGUGCCAGCCGCCGCCGUAA
rnacentral:rRNA from 1 species